GCGCCCGUAGCUCAGCGGAUAGAGCGCUGCCCUGCGGAGGCAGAGGUCGGACGUUCGAGUCGUCCCGGGCGCA
rnacentral:tRNA from 2 species